rnacentral:siRNA from 1 species
UUGGUAGAUGUCAUCGCAGCCA